UAUAUACAAAUGAGAUCCACUGAGUCUAAUCUGGGUUUACUAGUCUGAAUAUGAGGGCACCAAGUAGGCAAGAAACUCUCUCCCCUGCACACUUUGUAUCAAAGGAGCUUUUGAAGAAGUGAGGGAGCUUUCAAAAUUUGUGUUUGGGGUGCAGAACUUAAGUGUACAUUUCCACACUCCCUUCACUUUGAGUUUAUAACUACUGAGAACUAAAUCAAGAACACCAUUCAAAGAUUUACAAAAGGAAAUAUUCAUGUAAUAUGGAAUUAAUCUUAAGAAAUGUAAAUAAAAGCAUUCUUUGGAUAUAAAUUUAAAAGCAAAAAGCCUUGGUCUUCCAAAUCAUUGCACAAAAUUAAUUAAACUUUUCCCUAUUAGAUAUCCAACUGCUUUUUAUUUCAGAAGUGAAGUUACAUUACUGAUGGGUAUAAUGCUCCAUAGUGGCUUAUUACUUAUUCUCCUUUAGAACAAAACCUCUCUUUAGUGGAUAAUGUAUUUCCAUAUGCUGCUUUACCUUGUUGCUGUUAUUGUUUUGCAAGCUCGAACAAUAUGCUGAAAGUUCCAGUGAACAGGUGAACUUCUAAUUGUAUUUUUAAAUAAUGCAUUCAUCAUUUUAAAAGUCUGCCAUUGUCUGAAAUGACUGACAUCAUGUUUCUUUUUACAGAGAUUUAUCUUUUACCCACCACAAGUACCACCAUUUUUCCCUCAGGUCCUCUUUCCCCUACCUCCGCAACCGCCCCUGGUCCUCACACCUAAUGAUCUUAUCGCGUUACUCAUUGCUAUUUUGAACCAACUAGGGAUUUUAUUUCCAUGACUAAAUUGAUAAAGGUAAGUUAUAUUCAAUGCCACGAAAGGUAAGAGAAACUCUUUGUAACUAUAAAAAUAUGAGAGUCAACCUCAACUGAUCUACCAAACUAGAACUCAUAAGUUAUAAACUCAUUUCCUCCAAAAUCUUUACAUCAAAAUUUUUGCCAGUCUAAAAAGGUAUUUUUUAAUAAUGUCCUUGAUAUUUCACAAAAUUUAAAUUUACAGGCAUAUAUGCAAUAUGAAAUUUCAAACAACAAAGUUUGCUUCAGGCUUUUUUUUUUUUUUUUUUGAGGAGUCUUGCUCUGUCACCCAGGCUGGAGUGCAGUGGCGUGAUCUCGGCUCACUGCAACCUCUGCCCCCCCAGGCUCAAGCGAUUCUCCUGCCUCAGCCUUCCUAGUAGCUGGUAUUACAAGCAUGUGCCACCACACCUGGCUAAUUUUUACAUUUUUAGUAGAGACGGGGUUUCACCACAUUAGCCAGGCUGGUCUCAAACUCCUGACCUCAAGAGAUCCACCCGCUUCAGCCUCCCUAAGUGCUGGGAUUACAGGCGUGAGCCACUGUGCCCAGGCUUUCAGGCUUAUUUUUGUCUUAUAGGCAAUUCAUAGUAAAUAAUGAGAAAAGCCUACUGUAAAACUGCCACACCUAGAAAUGGACUGAUCUCAAGGCAAGGUAACACAUCUUAACAAAAAGCAUUAACUUGCUGGAUACAAAGGCUACAAACUUUGACUUCUACUUUGACUUUCACUGAAGUUUGCUUUCAUGUAAAAUACAUACCAAAAAAAAGAAAGAAAGAAAGAAAGAAAGAAAGAAAAACGUGGAGACCAAAAAGGUAUAUAUCCCUUUUGUUGUUCUAAUAUUUUUAAGAAACAGGAUCUUGCUAUGUUGUCCUGGCUGGACUACAGAGGCUAUUCACGGGCCCAAUCAUAGUGUAUGUACUACAGCCUUGGAGAAAGAAACUGGAUUUCCACCCAACUGCUUCUCUCCUAACAAGUUACAUUGCCCUGAAGUGCUUAUUUAGUACCUUUUACCAUUUCAAAUACUUAGACUAUCUGAGGCCAAGUGGGAGAGAUUAAGCUCUAUGCUGUAAACAGUUAAGGAUUCAAUUUAUCAGCAUUUAACAGUUCCACAUUAUUUUCCACCUCCAACAUACAUGAUUAUACCAAUAUUAACACAUCAGCAAUAAAAUAACCAUAAAAUGGGAGGCAUGGGUGAAGAAGGAAUUGUGGUGAAAAUAUCUUCAUAUAAAUUAUAACUAUAAUCUGUAUUAUCUAUUUUGACAGAAAUAAUUCUCCCACUACUAUGCCAGAAGUUACGUAUGAUGGUGCUGGAUAUUUACAGUUAUCAGAAGAGUAUCUACUUCUAUCUUAACUAUAGUUGAUGGUAGUUUUAUAAUUUUGCAUACUUUGUGCAUGUUCCAGUGAAAACUCCAAAAAACCAUAAAGAAUGUAUCUAGACCAUGGGCUUUAGUCAUACUUUAAAUAAACCUUUAAUAUAACCAAAUGUCUUUAUUAAUGGCAGUUCAAAUGUAUCAAAACUAUUAAACAGGCUGGGCAUGGUGGCUCACACCUGUAAUCCCAA
rnacentral:lncRNA from 1 species